UGCCUACGGGACGCAGCAGUGAGGAAUAUUGGUCAAUGGACGCAAGUCUGAACCAGCCAUGCCGCGUGCAGGAAGACGGCUCUAUGAGUUGUAAACUGCUUUUGUACGAGGGUAAACGCAGAUACGUGUAUCUGUCUGAAAGUAUCGUACGAAUAAGGAUCGGCUGACUCCGUGCCAGCAGCCGCGGUAAUACAGAGGAUUCAAGCGUUAUCCGGAUUUACUGGGUGUAAAGGGCGUGUAGGCGGG
rnacentral:rRNA from 1 species